rnacentral:rRNA from 1 species
AUACGGAGGGGGUUAGCGUUGUUCGGAAUUACUGGGCGUAAAGCGCACGUAGGCGGACUGGAAAGUUGGGGGUGAAAUCCCGGGGCUCAACCCCGGAACUGCCUCCAAAACUUCCAAUCUAGAGAUCGAGAGAGGUGAGUGGAAUUCCAAGUGUAGAGGUGAAAUUCGUAGAUAUUUGGAGGAACACCAGUGGCGAAGGCGGCUCACGGGCUCGAUACUGACGCUGAGGUGCGAAAGCGUGGGGAGCAAACAGGAUUAGAAACCCCGGUAGUCCC